AUUGAACGCUGGCGGCGUGCCUAAUACAUGCAAGUCGAACGCUUUUUCUUUCACCGGAGCUUGCUCCACCGAAAGAAAAAGAGUGGCGAACGGGUGAGUAACACGUGGGUAACCUGCCCAUCAGAAGGGGAUAACACUUGGAAACAGGUGCUAAUACCGUAUAACACUAUUUUCCGCAUGGAAGAAAGUUGAAAGGCGCUUUUGCGUCACUGAUGGAUGGACCCGCGGUGCAUUAGCUAGUUGGUGAGGUAACGGCUCACCAAGGCAACGAUGCAAUGCCGACCUGAGAGGGUGAGCGGCCACACUGGGACUGAGGCACGGCCCAGACUCCGACGGGAGGCAGCAGUAGGGAAUCUUCGGCAAUGGACGAAAGUCUGACCGAGCAACGCCGCGUGAGUGAAGAAGGUUUUCGGAUCGUAAAACUCUGUUGUUAGAGAAGAACAAGGAUGAGAGUAACUGCUUGUACCUUGACGGUACCUAACCAGAAAGCCACGGCUAACUACGUGCCAGCAGCCGCCGUAA
rnacentral:rRNA from 1 species